GACAGAGGAUGCAAGCGUUAUCCGGAAUGAUUGGGCGUAAAGCGUCUGUAGGUGCUUUUUAAGUCCGCCGUCAAAUCCCAGGGCUCAACCCUGGACAGGCGGUGGAAACUACCAAGCUGGAGUACGGUAGGGGCAGAGGGAAUUUCCGGUGGAGCGGUGAAAAUGCGUAGAGAUCGGAAAGAACACCAACGCGAAAGCAACUCUGCUGGGCCGACACUGACUGGAGAGACGAAAGCUAGGGGGAGCGAAAUGGGGAUUAGAAAACCCCGAGG
rnacentral:rRNA from 1 species